rnacentral:lncRNA from 1 species
CUUCCGCUCCACGUAGUUGGACGGCCUCAACUUUUGCACUUCCGUGUCCAUCUCUGCAUUGCCCAAUUUUUGCAAGACUCUCCUGCUAAGGUGCUCUAGCUGGAAUCCUCCACUCUCAACAUCUGAUCAGGUUCCUCAUCCUCUACCAUCCCCCAGGUGACAGCUGAUCACCCUGUCCUGCCUUCAGAAGAAUCCUGUUCGCGUGUUGGAGGCAGGCCGUGUGCACUGCUAUUCUCGGGAGCAAAGAAGCAUCUUCUCUGUGGCUGCUCCCACUGAGCAUGGCUGACUCUUACAGGGCAGCAGCUUCUGAUUAACCAUUUUUAAGUGUACAGUUCAGUGGCCUCAAGUACAUUCACCCUGUUGUGCAAACAUCAACAUCAUCUAUCUGCAGAACUAUUUUCAUCUUGAAAAACUGGAAUAGGGAUUGCCCUAAUGUCUUCCACGGAGGCUGCAUCUACAAUUCCACCAACAGUACACAAGGGUACCAAGUUCUCUACAUCCUUGUCAACGCCUGUUAUUGUCUACUUUUUGACAGCAGUCAUCCUAUUGGGUGUAACGUAUACAUCAAUUUCUUAACUGAACAGUAUUUGUACUGCAUCCUCAAUAGAAUUUAUUAGCACAUAGCAAUUCUCAAUAAAAAGAAAAAUUUUAUACU